AGGAUCCAGGCCACAGUGAUCCCAGGACCUGUUGUCCAUGGGCUGAGCUGCAGGAGGCCAAGCAGGCCAGAAGGAAGGGAGUGCAAGUGACGCUUUGGGAUCCAGGGGAGCCAGGUGGGGGGAGCUGUGAGAGUGGGAUAAUGAAGUUUCACUGUAAUUUAGAGCCUUUGCCUUUUAUAGGGAGGUUGUUUCUGAGUUAUUUUCACAAUAGAAUCGGGUAUUCUGAUACCUCGCUGCUGCGUGGAAUCAGAAAUAAUAUAGCAUGUUGAUAUAUCAUCGACCAGGGGCUUCUCUUUCCGAGCCACGUUUACCCAGCAAUUAAGUGAAAUUACGUGACUCGGUAUAGAAAGAUAAUCGCCGGAGAAGCUCUUCUGAUUGCCGUCUCCCACACGUGCAGCAGGCGACCCUGCAAACGGCAGGACGAUGGGAGAGGGGAAUUAACGUGGAAGCUUUGCUGCUGCCCGAGGUGUCAGCUGUUUCCCAGAGCAGAUGCAUGAGGACAUGGAGGAAGAGACAUGAGUGCAGGCCAAAUCCUUUCUCACAGUAUGCUGCAGAGGAAACCAGUCCGUUUUCCAAACAAGAGCAUGGUCCCCAUGGUCUAGGAGUUGAAGGAGAGUGAUAGGCUGGGAGUCCCCUGCUCCCGCAGUGAUGGCUUCUCAGCUCUCCUUUCCCAGCCAGUCAGGUCCUUAGGGCCUUAGGCAGGGCCCAGGGCCUUAAAACAAGGAGGCCCUUGCCCUAACAUGCCCAUAGAAACUCAUGGAAUGUUCCUGAACCCCCUCUCCCAGCUCCAUCCAAUUCUGCCUUGCUUUUCCAUCCCCCUCUGCCAUAUCCUUGAACUCUGUGGCCUGGAAAUGAUGUCACUUCCAUCACCUCUUAACCUCCCCAC
rnacentral:lncRNA from 1 species